GCGCACGCCCAUAGGAACUUGCUGUGGGAAAGCCAUUCCCAGAAUGUGGCCGGAUUCCUAAAGGGAUCAAGGUUGGUGCAAGAGGUUAAUUCAUCAUUGUGACCCAGAUUCUUCACUCCUUUCCACUUUCCAGCCUCAUCCCAGGGAGGGCAGAGGGUACAGAACAGCAACAAACAUAUCAAGGCUAUCUUUUCUCCCUUUCCUUUCCCUUGCUUUCAUCUCUCUUCUCAGCUCUCCCUUUUCUCUCUUCUUCCUUUCCCUCCUACUCUUUCCUUAAUCUUCCAUUUCUCUCCUCUCCCUUUUCUCCUCCACCUUUGUCCUUCAAUUCUCUUCUCUCUCCUGCCUUUCUACCCCCUCUAUUAACUUCUCUUGCUUUUCUCUCUCUCCUUCCCCCGUCCUCCAGUCCCAUCCCCAUCUCUCUUUCUGCACACCUACCUAUCUCUCCCUCUCUUUUUCUUCGUUAGCUCUCCCUUCUCAAUCUUUCUUCUCAUUGGCUCCAUCUCUAUCUCUGAUUCUGUCUCUGUGUGUCAUGAACAUCCCCCUUUCCCUCUCCUUCUCCCUGUUUCUUUCUCCCUUUCCACCACUUCUCCUUUUCCCUCUUCCUUUCCCCUUUUCAGGCUUGCUGCAGCUUCAGCUUUGGUGGCGCUUAGGGAUCGGACUGCAGAGGUUAAUGAUGGUUCCCCCCACCCCCCAUCCAAGAUGUAUCUGACUGUCAGGAGGGGUGACAGAUGAAGACAAAGUACAGGUUCAUCUUUCUGUAUAUGUGAUUGUGAAGAUGAGAGUUUGUGGGACGUAUCUCCCACUCCCAUGGGUGUGUCAGCAUAUAAGUGACCAUGAUAUACACCCAGAAAACUACAACGCACCCUAGGUACACACAGACAAUAAGCAACACAAGGGGAGCAGGCCCGUGGAAUCAUGCCCCAAUAGGCCUGAAAUAUUUAACCUAAGUGCACAUCUGCCUCCACACCUGUAUGCAGACAUCCCUGCAAUUACAGCUAUGCUUCUAUGUAAAUGUCUGCAUGCAGCACAGAUGCAUAAUGUAAUACACCCACAAAAUACAAAAAAGUCCAUUUACGACGGUCCUCCUCGUGCAGACUGUGUGAGGGUGUGAAGAGCCAUCUUCCCUACUCAUCAGUCGGACUCCUGGUGACCUCAUGGCAAAGAUACUGGAGGGUUUGCCAUUUCCCUCUCCAGUACAUUUUACCUAUGAGAAAACUAAGGCAAACUGGAUUGUGACUUGGCCAGGAUCACACAGCUGGUGUCUGGGAUCUGGAGUUGAAAUUUGCACUUAAACCCGGAUUCUAGAUUUGGCACCAGAGGACUGGGCUAUGUUGUGGCUCUGGGCAGGACUGGAAUUUCCUCAAUCUGUCAAAUGAGGGAGUGAGUAGACUUGGGAUGACUUCGGAGGUUUUCUUCGAGUCCUAAACACAGGAUUCUGUGCGGGCAGAAUAUCGUCACACAGUUCCUUGUACAGAAGCAUAUUUGAGAGACACACUGUGACUCAGCCCAGGGUCCCCGAAGGGCUGACAUCUUAUUUCCCUUUGCCCAACCGAACAGGCUGCCUGGGUCCCAGCUUUCUGACCACCAGAUGGAGCUCUUUCACCCCCUUGUAGCGCAGAUACUCCGAGGAACCUGCAGGGGCCCCAUUUCAGACGGAUCAAUGGUCAAGCAACGGGCUCAGAUGGUCCAGGGAAAUGAGUUCGGCUCCUCCCUCAGCCCCAUCCCCGCCUCCAGUCCGAUGGGCCUGGGGAUGGGAGCGGGGGCCUCUUUCUGGCCUCUAAGCUGCAUGCAGAUGGGCCCCCAUCCCGGGAGUUCCCCCAGCAUCCCCUUUCCUCCUUCUCAGUGUCCCUCAAGCAUUAAUUAGUAUCUGAGCCUCCGGACCCGGGGGAACUCAGGAGCUGUCACUUUCAGCAGUCCAGGAUCCUUUCCCCGUCGUUCAGCAUCGAACGCACGAAGAGUCGGGAGGCCCGGCCUCCGGACGUGGUCGUGGUAGAGGAAGAAGGACCCGAUUCUGAGGACUCAAAUCCUCUCUCCUAAGCCCCUCUCCCAUUAACCCUUCCCUCCUCAAAGCGGCGCCUGUCUCCAGUUCCCCGCUUUGAUACUAGGAGAAAAGCCCUGGAUUCUUUUCCAAGGCAGAAUGAGUCAGAACUCAGGACAGGCUAGUUGGAGGAGUGGGCCUGGAGGGGGUGGGUAGUGGGGUGGGAGAGACAAGGGACUGGGGAAGGGAAUUGGGGCUGGACAAAGCCCUGCCCGAUCUCAGGCGGGAGAGGAAAACAUCGCACGUCCUUCCCCUUACCCCCCGAAGCCCCGGCUGAUCCCAGGUCGCCCUGGAAAGAAGGGUGCCUGGACUAAGUAAGGGACCUCGGGCGGAGGGCGCGGGACCAACCCCGGAGCCCCGAGGGGAGGCGAGGCUAGCGGCUCGGCUCAGCGUCUCUCCCUCUGCUCCCUCGGGAGCGGCGGGAAAUUAUUUAUUAAAACACCGCUCGUGCUCUCGUUUAUUUGCCGUGAAUAAUCCUCGGCAACAGCGCGCGUUUAUUAAACUCUUCCCGUCCCCGCGCCCCGCUUUGCUUUAAUAAUAAAUCGCGUGUCACUUUCCAGCGACGUUAUUAAAGCCCGCCCGCCGACAGAGCGG